rnacentral:lncRNA from 1 species
GGAGACACUCGAGACCACGGCCCUUUCUCCUCUACUCGCAAAGAUGACGCUGGCCAUCCUGGCCCUGCGACUGGUGGUCUGCACCCUGUCGUUCCCCCUGUUUCUGCUGAACCUUAUAGGCGUGUGGAGCUGGGUAUGCAAAAGGUGCUUUCCCUACUUCCUGAAGCGGUUCACGGUGAUGUACAACGAGCAGAUGGCUACCCGAAAGCGGGAGCUCUUCAGCAACCUGCAGGAGUUCGCGGGCCCCUCGGGGAAGCUGUCGCUGCUGGAGGUGGGCUGCGGCACCGGCGCCAACUUCAAGUUCUAUCCCCCCGGAUGCAGGGUCACUUGCAUCGACCCCAACCCCAACUUCGAGAAGUUCUUGUUCAAGAGUGUCGCAGAGAACCGGCACCUGCAGUUCGAGCGCUUCUUGGUGGCCGUUGGGGAGGACAUGCACCAGGUGGCCGAUGGCUCUGUGGACGUGGUGGUCUGCACCCUGGUGCUGUGCUCGGUGAAGAGCCAAGAGAAGAUCCUGCGCGAGGUGUGCCGAGUGCUGAGGCCGG